rnacentral:rRNA from 1 species
UGGGGAAUUUUGGACAAUGGGCGAAAGCCUGAUCCAGCAAUGCCGCGUGUGUGAAGAAGGCCUUCGGGUUGUAAAGCACUUUUGUCCGGAAAGAAAUCCUCUGGGUUAAUACCUCGGGGGGAUGACGGUACCGGAAGAAUAAGCACCGGCUAACUACGUGCCAGCAGCCGCGGUAAUACGUAGGGUGCAAGCGUUAAUCGGAAUUACUGGGCGUAAAGCGUGCGCAGGCGGUUUCGUAAGACGGAUGUGAAAUCCCCGGGCUUAACCUGGGAACUGCAUUCGUGACUGCAAGGCUAGAGUAUGGCAGAGGGGGGUAGAAUUCCACGUGUAGCAGUGAAAUGCGUAGAGAUGUGGAGGAAUACCGAUGGCGAAGGCAGCCCCCUGGGCCAAUACUGACGCUCAUGCACGAAAGCGUGGGGAGCAAACAGGAUUAGAUACCCUGGUAGUCCACGCCCUAAACGAUGUCAACUAGUUGUUGGGGAUUCAUUUCCCUAGUAACGUAGCUAACGCGUGAAGUUGACCGCCU